rnacentral:rRNA from 1 species
AGUAAUGCGUGACCAACCUGCCCCAUGCUCCAGAAUAGCUCUUGGAAACGGGUGGUAAUGCUGGAUGCUCCAACUUGACGCAUGUCUUGUUGGGAAAGUGUUUAGUGGCAUGGGAUGGGGUCGCGUCCUAUCAGCUUGUAGGCGGGGUAAUGGCCCACCUAGGCUUCGACGGGUAGCCGGCCUGAGAGGGCGGACGGCCACAUUGGGACUGAGAUAUGGCCCAGACUCCUACGGGAGGCAGCAGCA